rnacentral:rRNA from 1 species
CAGUCGCCGCGGUAAAACGUAGGUGGCAAGCGUUGUCCGGAAUUAUUGGGCGUAAAGGGCUCGCAGGCGGUUUCUUAAGUCUGAUGUGAAAGCCCCCGGCUCAACCGGGGAGGGUCAUUGGAAACUAGGAAACUUGAGUGCAGAAGAGGAGAGUGGAAUUCCACGUGUAGCGGUGAAAUGUGUAGAGAUGUGGGGGAACACCAGUGGCGAAGGCGACUCUCUGGUCUGUAACUGACGCUGAGGAGCGAAAGCGUGGGGAGCGAACAGGAUUAGAUACCCCAGUAGUCCCUGUCUCUUAUAC